UACGGGGGGGGCAAGCGUUGUUCGGAAUUACUGGGCGUAAAGGGUGCGUAGGCGGGUCUUUAAGUCAGGGGUGAAAUCCUGGAGCUCAACUCCAGAACUGCCUUUGAUACUGAGGAUCUUGAGUUCGGGAGAGGUGAGUGGAACUGCGAGUGUAGAGGUGAAAUUCGUAGAUAUUCGCAAGAACACCAGUGGCGAAGGCGGCUCACUGACCCGAUACUGACGCUGAGGCACGAAAGCGUGGGGAGCAAACAGG
rnacentral:rRNA from 1 species